GGCUGCCGCCGCCGCAGCUCAAGGAUCCGACUUCAUGGGGGUGGGGGGCACCCUCUGGCGGGCGGCCCGGCGAGCAGCACCGAGCCCUGAGCGCACCGCGCGGCGGCUGGCCCGCGCCCUUAACCCUUCGCGGCGCGCGGCCCGGGGAGGCGGGCACCUUUCCCCAAGAGUGGCUCGGGACGGGCCGUGGGGGAGGGGAGGAGCGGGGUGGAGGGCAAGGUUCCUUCCAGGUUUGGGAAGGGGGCGGGGAGCUGCGCGAUGAGGUAAUUGGAGCGGUGACCGGUCGGUCCUCGAGCGCCUCCCUGGGUCCCUGCACCUAGUUGGAGGGGACCGAGCGACCGCGGGGCGCUGCUCAGGCAACCUGGGGGACUCCCCCAAGGGGUGUCAGGCUUCAGCUGGCAGCCAAUGAAACACCCCAGGGGGGAGGGGAGGUCGGCGGGUUCUAAUCCCAACGUGCCCUGGGUCCCCGGCGCCCCGAGCCGCGUCUAAAAGGGCUCCCUCCGAUCAUCAGCUGCACGUUAUUUAACCCGCAAACCGGCGUCGCUGCGGCGUUCGGGAACCCAGGCCCGGGGGCCUCGGGGAUUGCCUCUGCGUGCAACUCCGCAAAGUUUCCCGGGCCCCCCGACUGCACAGGCGCCCUCACCUUCGCUGCCUGAGAACGCCCGGCCGUGCCCUCGCUCUCUCCGCAGGUCCGGAAAUCGGCUUCGAUCUGGAGCUACUUACUCCGCUCUAGCCUGGAAAGGAGACCCGCGCACUCCUCUCGCAGCUAAUUUGGGAUCAUUAAUUUAAUCGGAAAUGAGGUAACCAGUGUAAGAGACAGAGAAAGCCACCGGAGCAUCAAAUGGCAGCUCUCGGGAAUCGAUGAAGAACUUGAGUCUGGACUCUGUGUUUUAGUGCGGUCCGCGACUCCCACCACCCCGCCCGCCCCUCCGCCUGUCCCGCCGCCAGGUGUGACCUCCACGCGAAGGAAUCUUCGUCGGCUGGGCUAACAUUGCCAACAGGUGUGGCACCUGGAGGACUGGGAGGUGCCUCCAGACUACGGGCGCUCAGCGUGGCGUUUUUGCUGCAGAUGAUUCUGGAAGGCCAGUAGGUGUCGGGCAACAUUUGACCUCCUUCAGGUGCUUAGAACUAGGUGUCUGGAAACAUGACCCCUUCGCGUAAGUUUCUUUCUGAAAGCCACCGCUCUUGACUGUAAGCUGUAUUUGAGAGACCUUUUGGCUGAGUUUACUUAUGACCUAACGGUUAGUCACCCACUGAGGCAGGGCAGAGAAUGAUCAAAACAUGUGUCAGGUUUUACACAACUCUGGCCUGCAAGAGCCUACGUGCUCCUGAAAUAAUAAACGUACGAGCGAGGAAAGUGCAGAGCCCCGGAAAUAUUUUUUCUCACAUUUUUGAUAUGCCGUGCACAUGUAAGUGGCUAUUUAAAUGUAACUACUACUGUUCACUCUUACUCAUUUCUACAACUCCCCCCCCCCAUUUAAAAAUCGAUGAUUGUUACAGUUUGAAACCUCGGGUUAGUCUAAAGUGACAUUGUUGGUCUCCUUACAGCCUCUAGUGGACAGUUAACAUCAGUUUCCUGAAAAGGCUCUGAUAGGUUUUGUUUUGUCAAGGUGAAGGUUAGCGCGUCAGAGCAUAACUGGGUAAAAUAUCCCACACCCCUAUCCUCACCCCCGCCCCCAACCCCCUACUUGACAAAGUCGACUUCAGAAAGAAGCAGAAGCUUGUUGGCUUUGUAUAGGAGAUGCUGCCGGUAUUAUUACUGGACUUUUCAUGUCAGUUUCAGACAGCUUCCAUAAAAACUAAACUCAUCUCAAAUAUUUUUAUAACAGAAAAUAUUGGUUGCCAUGUUUUUGGCUUAACUGCGAUGUUUUUAUUCCAACUCAUAAUCUGCAAACUGUCCAAUCCACCUCCACUCUAUUUUUAGACAUCUUACAUUUAGAUAAUUUUCCGUUAAAAAAGCUAAUAUUGUAAUUAUUAUGUUGGCACAACCAGUUAAUUUACAUGAUUUUAGCAACCUUAAAACACAUAAUUCAGAUUAGAGUUAGCCAAUUAAUUUAAAUGUUCUCUCAAGGAAGCUAAAUAUGUAUAUUACCCAAAUGGUAAAAACAAUUAAUAAGAAAUGUGUCAUUUACUUUCUUAGCCAUUGAGAUUAAAGCCAUAAACUGCCACCAAAGCUGUAACUAUUUCUUCCUGCAAGAUCCAGCAUAAACACCAUACUCGUGAAACAGUCUCAUUACCUUUAGUACUGAAAUAUUUUGUUUUCAGAUGGCAAAAUAUUAAAUGUACAGUCACAAAUAACAGACACUGAUUCUUUAGAAACAAGACUUUCUCAUGCAAAUAAAAACUCAAUGAGAAAGGGCAGAGCUUUCAGAAGCUAGUAGGCAAAUAUAUAGUACUAUAGUCCUAGUCGUCAGGCUGACGUUAUAUUUGUGCAAGCAUAAGUCAACCUUUGAAAUUACAGGAAAUAGAUAAAUAAGGCCCGAUGAGCUUGACUCAUAACCUGUGUUGUAGAUUGCUUAAAUACCAUGGAAAACAAUUGUAAUUACAGACCUGUUUUACUGUUUUGGUGCUACUCUUGAAGACUUUAAAUGGCCCAGCAAAUAUAUCAUACAUUACAUACAUUACACCCUUACUUCUUAAAGUGUAGUCUUUAAAGUAGCCGCAGCAGCACUAAGGAGCUUUUUAGACAUUCAGAGUCAAGGGUUCUACCCCAGACACAGCAAAUCAGAAUCUUUCUUGAACCAGGCCCGUGGCUGAUUCCUAAAGGCAUUAUCAUGUGAAGAACAGUGGUCUGUACCACAGGGAUCAAGCUAAAUAAAUUGGGGCACAGGUGCAGAAGUUAAUUCCUCUUAUUUCUUUCUUGCUUGUUCCUUUUUUAUUAAGUACAGCCUUUUAUUAAUUUGUGCAUUGCCAUGAAGAAUUCUCACAUUAUAUGCUUUGGGUAAAUACUGCUGCAUUUUAAGAGCAGACAUCUGCAUCAUUAUUGCCGAAAGAGAAUGCUCUGCUGGGGAAUGAACUGGGGUCUGGAACAUGAACAUUUUCUUCAUGGCAGCAGAGGGAGCACAAGAGUACUUAAUAAAACCAGCGCACAGGUUUCUCCACAACACGACAGAUUUUAAAUUGUAGUAUAUGUUUUCCUUGGAAGUAGCCUGUUACGUAGUUCAAAAUGAAGCAAAACAACCAAACAAACACAAACAGCUUACCAGGUCUCAACAACUGUGUAACUGAACAGGCUGGAAGUUGAAGAAAACAAAGAUAAACUUCUUCAGUUUUAGGCUUGAAUUGUUAAAAGACGUUGAACAUCCAAAGUGAAAAAGAUGUCUCGCCUUUGCUCUACUCAAAAACAAAGAUAACACAAUACAGAAUCAGGCAACCCUAACAGUCAGUUCCCGGGACCCUACAUCAGCCUCACUCCUCUUUGCAUUUGAGGGAAAUGAUUCUAGAAGCUGAAAUAGACCAGAGUUCAACAGUCUGGGAAAUUUGAAGAAGAAAAAAGAAAAAAAAAAACAUCCAAGUCCUGCAUUUGCAGAGAUGUGAAGAGAACCCAGCUUUCUGAAGUUGGAAGGAAGUGAGAAGACCCUAUUUGUGGCUGCAGGAGAGGAAAAGAAAAGGGACCCGCAAGGAAACUACCAACAGAUGACAGGAAUCUGAGCCAAAGAGUUGCAGGAAAUUGGCAAAGAUCAUACAACUAAUUCAUGGCAAAUUCAGCACUGGAACCUAAGAUGUCGCCCUCCUAGUCCUGUGUUUGCUCUCCUCUAGCCCUCAUUGAAGGUGGACACUGCUGUGAUGAGCAAAACCCAAUUCUAGAAGACCUCAAUCAUGGCAGCCCUCGUGCUUGGGUUCUUAUGAAGCAAGAUGAUGGUGUUUCUGUCUGGUCUGUAGAUGUUUGGGAAACUGGUUGUUAUUCUUUACAAGUAAGGUUUCAAGCUAAAAUAGAUUUGUUAAUUUCUGUCCUAAACCCCUGUUGGUUGUCUAGAUUAUAUAGCUACCAUACUAUUUGUCACAGCUGGGAUCCUCUUUUCAUGAAAUACCAGGGAAGAUUGGUGGAUAAGGAUUAAAAAGCAUUGGCAGAGGAGACUGGGAGACUUACACAAUUACUUCCCACCCCGUGCCUUCCUGGUCUAAGAACUUCUCCCAGCCUCUUUUGGAGAGAGAGGGGGACCAGAAAAGAAAGAAAGCACCCAAAUUGCUGAGAGACAGUUUCAAGUGGAGUAGCCAUUACGAAAGCCAGAGGGUGGCUUGCAGGUAUCGUACCCACUCUUCCUGCAGCCGGUC